CACGUAGGGCGCAAGCGUUGUCCGGAAUUAUUGGGCGUAAAGAGUUCGUAGGCGGUCUGUUACGUCUGCUGUGAAAACCCAGGGCUUAACCCUGGGCUUGCAGUGGAUACGGGCAGACUAGAGGCAGGUAGGGGAGAAUGGAAUUCCCGGUGUAGCGGUGAAAUGCGCAGAUAUCGGGAGGAACACCGGUGGCGAAGGCGGUUCUCUGGGCCUGACCUGACGCUGAGGAGCGAAAGCGUGGGGAGCGAACAGG
rnacentral:rRNA from 1 species